UACGGGGGGGGGCAAGCGUUGUUCGGAAUUACUGGGCGUAAAGGGCUCGUAGGUGGCCAACUAAGUCAUACGUGAAAUCCCUCGGCUUAACUGGGGAACUGCGUCUGAUACUGGAUGGCUUGAGUUUGGGAGAGGGAUGCGGAAUUCCAGGUGUAGCGGUGAAAUGCGUAGAUAUCUGGAGGAACACCGGUGGCGAAGGCGGCAUCCUGGACCAACACUGACACUGAGGAGCGAAAGCCAGGGGAGCAAACGGG
rnacentral:rRNA from 1 species